rnacentral:rRNA from 1 species
UACGUAGGUGGCAAGCGUUGUCCGGAAUUACUGGGCGUAAAGCGCGUGUAGGCGGACCAACAAGUCAGGCGUGAAAUCCCUGGGCUCAACCCAGGAACUGCACCUGAAACUGUCGGUCUUGAGUGGUGGAGAGGGAAGCAGAAUUCCUGGUGUAGAGGUGAAAUUCGUAGAUAUCAGGAGGAACACCGGUGGCGAAGGCGGCUUCCUGGACACUAACUGACGCUGAGACGCGAAAGCGUGGGGAGCAAACAGG